GUGCGUUUCGGCAGCACGUGUACCAAAAUUGGAACAAAACAGAGAAGACUGGCCUGGCCCCUGCGCAAGUAUGACAUGUGAACUUGUGAAGUGUUCCAUAUUUUU